rnacentral:rRNA from 1 species
UUAAGCUACUAAGAGCGUAGGGUGAAUACCUUGGCACCAAGAGCCGAAGAAGGACGUGAUAAGCUGCGAAAAGCUAUGGGGAGGAGCAAAUAUCCAUCGAUCCAUAGAUAUCCGAAUGAGGAAACUCAACCAAAGUAAAAGUUUGGUUAUCCAUACAUGAGUAAAGUAGUGUAUGAGAGGGGAACGCAGGGAACUGAAACAUCUUAGUACCUGCAGGAAAAGAAAGAAAACUCGAUUCCUGAAGUAGUGGCGAGCGAAACAGGAGGAGCCUAAACCAGAAGGAGUAAUCCAUCUGGGGUUAUGGACUAUAUAAUUGAUUAAGUAAGUCUAACAGAAUUGUUUGGGAAGGCAAACCAUAGAAGGUGAAAGUCCGGUAUGUGAAAGACAAACUUACAUGAUAGUAUCCAGAGUAAUACGAGGCACGUGGAAUCUCGUAUGAAAAUGUGGGGACCACCCCAUAAGGCUAAAUACUACUUGGUGACCGAUAGUGAAACAGUACCGUGAGGGAAAGGUGAAAAGAACCCCGGGAGGGGAGUGAAAUAGAACUUGAAACCCUAUGUUUACAAGCAGAUAGAGCACGUUAAGGUGCGAUAUCGUACUUUUUGUAGAACGGUCCAGCGAGUUAUUGUAUAUGGCAAGGUUAAGUACUAUGUAAGGUACGGAGCCGAAGCGAGAGCGAGUCUGAAGAGGGCGACAUAAGUCAUAUAUAAUAGACCCGAAACCGGGUGACCUAACUAUGGUCAGGAUGAAGCUAGAGUAAAAUCUAGUGGAGGUCCGAACCCAUAAGCGUUAAAAAGCUUCGGGAUGAACUGUGGUUAGCGGAGAAAUUCCAAUCGAACUCGGAGAUAGCUGGUUCUCCUCGAAAUAGCUUUAGGGCUAGCCUUGAGAAAAUAGCAUGUGGGGGUAGAGCACUGAAGGAGCUAGGGGCCUAACCAGGUUACCGAACUCUAUCAAACUCCGAAUACCAUAUGUGUAAGCUCAGGAGUCAGACUGCGGGAGCUAAGUUCCGUGGUCAAAAGGGAAAGAGCCCAGAUCGUCAAUUAAGGUCCCAAAGAUAUAGCUAAGUGGAAAACGAUGUGAUUUUGCGUAAACAACCAGGAUGUUGGCUUAGAAGCAGCCAUUCAUUCAAAGAGUGCGUAAUAGCUCACUGGUCGAGUGAAGUUGCGCGGAAAAUUACCGGGGCUAAGCUAUACACCGAAAUUGCGGGUUCGCACUUGAAAGAUAGUGUGAGCGGUAGAGGAGCAUUCUGUAGUAGGAAGAAGUAUGAUCGAAAGGACAUGUGGACGAGGCAGAAGAGAGAAUGCUGGAAUAAGUAGCGAGAGCAAGGUGAGAAUCCUUGCCGUCGAAAGUCUAAGGUUUCCUGGGGAAGGUUCGUCCGCCCAGGGUAAGUCGGGACCUAAGGUGAGGCCGAAAGGCGUAGCCGAUGGACAGCAGGUGGAAAUUCCUGCACUAUAGAUAUACUUAAAAGACACAAGGGACGCAGAAGUGGAAGGUAAGCGAGGAAGAGGAAAAACUCGUAUCGAAAGAUAUAGUGAAAAUAAAGUAACGAAUUGCCAAGAAGCACGCUGACGAGAAAAGCUUGUGGAGCUUGUAUAGAUGUACCCGUACCGCAAACCGACACAGGUAGAUGAGGAGAGGAUCCUAAGACGAGCGGGAGAAGCAUUGUUAAGGAACUCGGCAAAUUGACCCCGUAACUUCGGGAGAAGGGGUACCUAUGUAAAAGUAGGUCGCAGAGAAAAGGCCCAAGCAACUGUUUAACAAAAACACAGGUUUCUGCUAAAUCGAAAGAUGAAGUAUAGGAGCUGACGCCUGCCCAGUGCUGGAAGGUUAAGGGGAGAGGUUAGAACAAGAUUCGAAGCUUCGAACCAAAGCCCCAGUGAACGGCGGCCGUAACUAUAACGGUCCUAAGGUAGCGAAAUUCCUUGUCAGGUAAGUUCUGACCCGC